rnacentral:rRNA from 1 species
UACGUAGGGUGCAGGCGUUAAUCGGAAUUACUGGGCGUAAAGCGUGCGCAGGCGGUUUGUUAAGUCAGAUGUGAAAUCCCCGGGCUUAACCUGGGAACUGCGUUUGUAACUGGCAAGCUAGAGUGUGGCAGAGGGGGGUGGAAUUCCAAGUGUAGCAGUGAAAUGCGUAGAUAUUUGGAGGAACACCAAUGGCGAAGGCAGCCCCCUGGGUUAACACUGACGCUCAUGCACGAAAGCGUGGGGAGCAAACAGG